GACAGGAUGGCCGAGCGGUCCAAGGCGUCACGUUCAGGUCGUGAUCUCUUUUAAAGAGUCGCGAGUUCGAAUCUCGCUUCUGUUA
rnacentral:tRNA from 1 species